rnacentral:rRNA from 1 species
ACGUAGGUGGCAAGCGUUGUCCGGAUUUACUGGGCGUAAAGAGCGCGCAGGCGGUCGUUCAAGUCGCGUGUGAAAGCCCACGGCUCAACCGUGGAGGGUCAUUGGAAACUGGGAGACUUGAGUGCAGAAGAGGAGAGUGGAAUUCCACGUGUAGCGGUGAAAUGCGUAGAGAUGUGGAGGAACACCAGUGGCGAAGGCGACUCUCUGGUCUGUAACUGACGCUGAGGAGCGAAAGCGUGGGGAGCGAACAGGA